AAUUGAAAACACUUCUCCAGAGCACAACUCUUUAGCCCCUUUGAGAGCCUCUUUAGCCCCUUUGAGAGCCCUGCCUUUGUUGGGAAAGGUGGAUGUGAACCACCACUCAUGAGAUCAACCAGUGAGAUAUUUGGGAUUUUUGAUUAUCAAGAUGUUGUAACUAUGUCUCAAAUAAAGAAGGAAAUUGGUCUAAUCACUGUAUCUACAUCAAUAAACUUUUAUUAGAAUUUUAUUCAACUAGGAAGGAUACCCAAAAAUAUGGGCAGGGUAACUUUUUCCUUGUCUGGUC
rnacentral:lncRNA from 1 species